CCAUUCUGAAGUUUAUCAGUAGACUAUCAUAUUUCGAAUGCGAAAUGUUGUCAAUAACGCGGUGUCUAACUCGCUAUUAGUGAUAAGCUGCUGUGUAGCUUAGCUUAGCUUAUAGCUAAUGUUAAAGGUUUGAAAGAUAGCACUGUCAGCCUGUUAUAUCGAAUUAGUACACCCGAUUGUUUUGUUAAAUAUAUGUAUUGGUGUGUAUGUAUAUGUUAAUGAAAAAAGGUAGCGUCAGAAAAUCUGUUUUUUAAAUGUAGCGUGAAAGUUAACCAUUUAUUGACUGUUUAGAGGUUGUAAGGCUUUUACCUAACUGUAUUUAGUAUUAAUGAUGCUGCAUUCUUUCCUCAGAAGCUAAAGUUUUUCAAAGACAUUUGUAGGGAGAACUUUGCAGCUAAUGGAGCUGAAGUAUUUUAUGUAAGGAGGAUUUUGCAGCCCAUAUAGAUUUCCUUAGGCUGAACCAAAACCUGCCAGACUAAAGUUGAUUUGGGAGAGAAAGACGUUGUAAACUCAAUCAUCUUGACAUUCUUCAAUGAGUAAUUGUUCAAUUUUUAGGCAAAUACUGUACACUUUGAAUGCUGUGAAUAAAACUAUAUUUUAAAUAUAUUUAAAAUGAAUUGUUUUUGACUGUUUUAAUCAGCUUUUAUUUAUUUGGAAAAAAUUAUUUUGGUUAUGUUACCAGCUAAAGUAAUCCAUUCCCAAAAUAGCACUCUUUAAGUUAACUAAUUAUUAACGCACUUGAAGUAUACUCAUUACUAAUCUAGCUGCAGGUAUGUAAAAGUAUACAAAAUGUAAUGUACUUGGCAUAUUCAUUUUUCACCAGGGCAGUUUUUAGAAUUUUGGAUUGGCCAAAAAUAUAUAGAAUGUACGCAAACAGUCUAUUUAAGAUAUACUGAUUGUAUGUUUGCAAGACACUCAUAAUACAUUUGUAAUGUACUCCUAACAUAAAUAAAACACACUCUAAAUCCACUUAUCAAGCAUGAAUUUAGCACAAAAACAGUCAUGUACUUAAAUUGUACUAAAUACACUUAAAGUUGUUCCACUUUAGCACACAAAAGUACACUAAAUACACUUAAAGUUGUACUUUGUUACAAUUAAUAUACAACUAAAAUAUAUUAAGUACAAAAUUAGUUGUUCCAAAAUAGCACUCUUUAAAUAAACUAAUCAAUAGCACACUUUAAGUAUACUGGUCAUUAGUGUGACUGCAAGUAUACUUAAGUAUAUCAAAAUUAAAUAUAUUUAGCAUACUAUUUUUUCA